rnacentral:rRNA from 1 species
UACGGGGGGAGCAAGCGUUGUUCGGAUUUACUGGGCAUAAAGGGCGCGUAGGCGGUCAGCACAAGUCAGUUGUGAAAUCUCCGGGCUUAACUCGGAAAGGUCAACUGAUACUGUGCGACUAGAGUGCAGAAGGGGCAACUGGAAUUCUCGGUGUAGCGGUGAAAUGCGUAGAUAUCGAGAGGAACACCUGCGGCGAAGGCGGGUUGCUGGGCUGACACUGACGCUGAUGCGCGAAAGCCAGGGGAGCGAACGGG